AAAUGAUAUAUGAAAUGUUUCUGGUUUUUUGUUUGACUAUAGCAUAAUUCCUAUGUAAUUACUGAAGAAAAUCCUGCAAUGCCAAUACGUUGUGUAGUAGGCUACAUUAAUAUCACUUGUCCGAACUUUUUAUGACAACAAGAAAACCCCUGAGUGCUUGUGAAGGUGGAAAAGAACACGCUAAACCUCAGAACCAGCCUGCUGGGAAGGGGGUGCUUUAAUACUGCUGUUCGGUUUUCUAAGUUCACUCUCUUAGGUUUACAUAUUAUAUUUCCCAGUCUGUGCUCAAAAUAUAUACUAUGACAUGGCAUGACAUGACAUGAUAUUUGUAAUUUCCUGGAUACUGAUUUUCUCCCACUUCUCCAAAUGUGACCACCCCUUCUAAAAGUCAGGGUUUAGAGGCCUCUGGUGGUGGGUGGAAGGGACCAGAGGUGGGGGCGUGAUUGGGCACAGGCUUCCCAGGAGAUGAUACGGAUUGCCCAAAUCUCAGGGGCCCUGGGAAGUACCUUCCCCAUACCCAGAUGUAACCUUUUAUUGGUAAAAAAUUAAAUUGGGGUUGAAAAUCCGUGACAUUGGAGCAGUCAAGUUGUAAGACAGAAGGGAACAAAGUAAUAGAAUGAUGGCUACACAUGAAGAAUUGGGGGCCAAGGUGAUGCAGCGGCCACACUCGGCCUGCAGGGAGCCCACAUCUGCUGGGGAGGCCGAUGCCACACCCCCAAGCCAUGCACAUGGGCAUCCUAGGCACUGAGCUGGAGACCUCAGUGUGCAGUGGGGGUGAGGAGGUGACGGAGCAGCAUUCCGUGCCUUGGCGAGGUCCCCGGGCUGCGCGUUGACAGUGUGUCCCUGUGUCAGGAAGUGAGUCUGCAUCUUCUCUCAUCUGGGACCUGGAAAAAAAUCUAAGGCGGAGAACACUGGAUAUACUGUGAUAAGAUGGGUGAGCUCACCUCUGGGCAUCCCUCAGACAAGCAUCUAUUAAGGGCUCAGAAUCAAGUGUUUGUGCCGCGGAGUCCCUUGUUCUGAGUGACACAUACCCUCCCCUUCCCGCUCUCCUUCUGGCUCAUUCUGAGGCAUCGCUUGCAAGGCCUGGGAUGAAAAUAGUGUCUAAGGGAGAAAUUGAGGGUUUGUGGGGCCUCCGUCUUGAAAUGGUGCUUAGGAAGUGUCUGAUUCUUUUUUUUCCAUAUCUGAGUACUUUUGCAUUCUUUGGUGGAGAUGCUUGUUUUCCAUGCCUGAUGUCUUUGUUGUAAGAUUCCUAUUUACUUGAGUUUCGAGGCUGUGGAAUGAGGAUCUGGCCGAUGGGUUUUCCUCCAGGAGUCUGAUCUCGAGCUGGCCAGUCCUCUCAGUGGUCUUGAUCAUCGUCAUUACCUGAACCAAGCAAAUGAGACCCUCUCGUGUUGGUUUUUGAAGGAAGUGCGCGGUGGAAUGUCAAGAGUCAGAGCUUCUCCAUCUUAAUUUUGGGAAAAAUGUAUCGUAUUCUCCAUUCAUGCUUCCCCCGGGUUUGUGAGCAAAGACUUAGGUGAAAUCCCUGAUUCUUUCCUUUUCUUAUCUCUUAUGCUUAAUCCAUUCACAUGUCCUGUGACAAAUAAAGGAGAGAUAAGCCCCUAAUUAUUUAAUUCAUCUUACAUUAAGGUUUUCAGCUGAAACCAGAAGCAUGACUUUUAAAUAGCAGGAACCUUGAGAUAAUGGAGAACUUUGAGCCUUUGAUGCAAGAGAUUUGAGAAACAAAGCACAAAGCUGGCCUUUAACAUCUUGCCCUAAAAAUAAGCGAGGAUGGAGGUUGGAGCGUGCUUAUAAGUAACUGGGCUUGCAGGCAAGAUGAAUAGAAAUAGCCAGGUGACUAUGGUCAGAUGUGUACCGUGUUCUGUUCCUUUUGUGAUAAAACUGAGUUGUUUGUUGUCAAGAAGGUCAGCUCUGAGAGUCUAUUUUAACCCCAUUGGCUUAUUGUCUCAAAUCCCUUAACCUUGAGACAGUUUGUCUGUUUGAUGUGGGAAAUUUACCUGUUCAUUGGAGCUCUGUUACACGUAACUGAAAUAUGAGGUUACUUAUCAGCUUUGUCAUAUUUAAAACAGUGAUGAUGACUCCGAUAUUUUUGUUAUUAUUAAAUCGACAGGUGUAAAAGAUGAUUCAGAGUCUCUUGGAGUCGAGAAAAACUAUAUUUUCCUUGUAUCAAUUAUAGUGCAAGUAAAAAUAAAUGCUUAUAUUUAGCCAAAACGUUUUGAAAGCGCUCGUGGAAUCUCAGUUCCACUGCUGACAGCUGGCUCCCUAAUUCUCACAUGUUAAUACCUCCAAUCUGACCGCUUCUCACCACCUUGGUCCCUGCCCCUCUGCUCGUCUGGGCCUCAUCUUCUCCCUUCUGGAUUCUCCUAUCUCCUUGCUGAUCUGAUCAUCUCCUCCCCCACCGCCCCCCAACUCUUGCUCUUGCUGCCGUUCUCAGAGCAGCCAGAAUGGCCUUUUAAAAACGUAGAUCAGGGCUUUCCUGGGCGAGCUCUUGUCCCGAGUAGAACCCUCCACUGGUGUCCCAGCUCCUCAAGGCAGCUUUCUCCUCCUGCUCACUGUGGUCUCAAGGUCUGGGGGCCUUACACCCAUUCCUUGCACUUGGCGAGCUCCUUCUCACCUCAGGGUGCUUCCUCUUGUGGUUUUCUCUGCCUGGAACCUUCUAGCCCCAGCUCCGUGAUGACUGUCUCCUUCCUCCUUCUUCAAGUCUGUCUCUGAGAAACCUUCCUUCUAGGGAACGCAAGAGAGAGAAACUCCAAGUGCAGCCCAGAGCCAGGAACAAACUGUCAGCACUUCUGUUUUGUUGAUUAUAGCUUCUCUCCGAUUGGCUGUGAAUUAAUUCAGUAAAUAGUCGAGUGAAGUUUCUUGCUUAAUUUUACAAUUCCUCGCCCACAGCCCUUUUAGCAGUAUGUGUCUGGGGGCGAGGGGUGGUGUUAGGUGUGUGGGAAGAGCAAGAAAAUCACACUGUUUCCUCGUCGCUCUGUAGAAAACUCAGGAAUCAUUGGUACAGCUGUCCCCUGACUACAGGGGGCUUUGAAGAAAAGAUGACUGUGCUUAGCGUUUCUCUGAUUAUUUUAGGUGAUGGAUACAAUAAUCUUGGUUGUAGAAUUUUAACACUUGAAGGACUGGCGAGAGUAAAUGCCUUCGAACUGCCUGGCCUUGUGCACGGCAUUUUCCAGGUAUAAACUCACUUCUCAAAGUGACCUCAUGUGGCCGGUGGUACCACCACCUGUCACUCGCUGCUGUGCGCACUGCAUAGACGGGGAAACUGCGGCCCAGGGGUGUUACAGAAACUGUCCCAAGGGGCUCACCUCACAGCCCAAAGAGCAGGACUUUUAGAACCAGAUCUGUUGAUCUCAUUUUUUUAUAUUUGGUGAAUAUUGUGCUCUGUUCAUCUACAAAAUGAUCAGAACCAUAAAUUCCUAUCUUAUACACAGAGAAAGUGCUUUCACUUAGAUUUUAUCAGUUCAGAAUUUUUAAUAAGUAGGUCAAAGACUGGGUUGAUGUUGCUGUAUCUUGUAUGAGAGAGGGCGUGAUAACACACUGAGGCCUGCGGUGCUUUCAGGGAAAAGCAUGUUUUCAAGACAUUGAACAAUACUUAUUCUCAGCAACUGGCAUCCUGUUUACAAGCUGUUCUUUUCCUUUUUAUCAUGUAAAGAGAUGGGAAAGAAAGGAACAAAAGGUUGGUAUCCUCCUCCUUCUUUAUUAUACGGAAGCGCUGUUUGCAGACAGUGGUAGAAAAUGAGCUUUUCAAACUUUCUAAAUGUCAGACUUUUUUUUUUACAAAAUUAUUCUGGCCGCCCCAUCCCGAGUUCAGGUUUGUACAUCUUGUUUCUGUGUGCAGCAUCGCGACGGAGGCUCACUGAGACCCACAGUGGACCGCAGGUUGUCAUUCACUUAGCAGAGCUGGGAAAGAGGUUUUCUGGAGAAUUCAUCUUUCUGAUUAGCAGAGAUAGGCUGUGGGACGUAUUGGUUCACAUAAGUGAAAUAUAGCAAAAACUGAACCCAGUCUGGAAGCAUGUUCUCAGUUGUCAAAGCCUCAGGGUCUCCAGAUGCCUCGCUCAAGGUCACUGUUCUCUUCCCCAGGAGGGUGUUGUUUCUGAACUGAACUUGGGUCCGCUCACCUGCUUUGCAGCAAAGCCAAUCUACUGACACUGGAUUGUGGUAAAAGAAAGUACAGCAUUUAUUUGCAGCGUGCCAGGCAAGGAGAAUGGUCAACUCAUGCUCAAAAGACCUGAACUCCUUAAAGGUUUGCAGGGAAGGAUUUUUUUCUUUUUUUUAAAGGAAGAUACUUUUUUUUUUUUUUUAAUUUAUUUAUUUUUGGCUGCGUUGGGUCUUCGUUGCUGUGCACGGGCUUUCUGUAGUUGUGGCAAGAGGGAGCUACUCUUCGUUUCAGUGCACAGGCUUCUCAUGCGGUGGCUUCUCUUGUUGCGGAGCACGGGCCCUAGGUGUGCGGGCUUCAGUAGUUGUGGCAUGCAGGCUCAGUAGUUGUGGUUCGCAGGCUGUAGAGCGCAGGCUCAGUAGCUGUGACACAAGGGCUUAGUUGCUCCGCGGCAUGUGGGAUCUUCCCAGAUCAGGGAUCAAACCCGUGUCCCCUGCAUUGACAGGCAGAUUCUUAACCACUGCGCCACCAGGGAACCCUGGGAAGGAUUUUUAAAGGCAGCAUUUGGGGUGAGGGCUGCAGGGUGGAUAACCUUCUUUUGAUUGGUUGGUGGUGAGGUGACGGGGUGACGUUUAGGGAAUCUCAAUCAUCAACCUCCUGCUUCCAGCCAGUCUGGGGUCUGCGUGCUUGUGGUCAGCGUGUAGUCACUGUCCUCCACCCGGGAGGGUCUUGGUUCCUGCAAAACAUGUGUCCAAUUGUUCUGUAUAUAUUGAUACCUUCUCUGGGAACUAGGACUCUGCUUUAUCACUGAGCUAUUGUUUCUUGACUGCUUUUCCUUUGUUUCUGCUUUCCCUCACUUCCUAAUUAGUAGCUGCUUGAGUCUGCUGUUUGGAACUCAGGGAAGGUCAAGGAGACAAAAACCUUUUUCUACAAACAAGAAUCUGCAGGUUCCUGCUCUGUUAAUAAUCCCAGCUGCUUGGGUGUCACAAGGAAGUCGCCAUGCUUUCUGGGAUGCUCAGGUUUUAACAAGCUGGUUGAAAUCUACAUGUAAGGUGUAUAUGUAUUUGUUAAAGACAAUGACUUCUCAGUGUGACUCAGUAAUGUAUUUAUACUGAGUGAAACAUUACAAGGGGUGAGUAUAGGGAUGUUAAUGCCUGAUGCAUUAAGAGCCCUCAAGUCCUUUCUCCAGUGGCCAUUGUUAACAAUAAUUUGCAAAGCCUUAAAGG